UCAGGACGAACGCUGGCGGCGUGCUUAACACAUGCAAGUCGAACGGGGAUGAUCCUGGAAGGUUUCGGCUGGAAGGGAUUAUUCGAGUGGCGGACGGGUGAGUAACGCGUGAGCAACCUGUCCCAGACAGGGGAAUAACACUUGGAAACAGGUGCUAAUACCGCAUAAGACCACAGCAUCACAUGAUGCAGGGGUAAAAGGAGCAAUCCGGUUUGGGGUGGGCUCGCGUCCGAUUAGAUAGUUGGUGAGGUAACGGCCCCACCAAGUCGACGAUCGGUAGCCGACCUGAGAGGGUGAUCGGCCACAUUGGAACUGAGAGACGGUCCAAACUCCUACGGGAGGCAGCAGUGGGGAAUAUUGGGCAAUGGGCGCAAGCCCUGACCCAGCAACGCCGCGUGAGUGAAGAAGGCUUUCGGGUUGUAAAGCUCUGUUAUAGGGGACGAAGGAAGUGACGGUACCCUAUAAGGAAGCCCCGGCUAACUACGUGCCAGCAGCUGC
rnacentral:rRNA from 1 species